AACUUAAGCAUAUCAAUAAGCGGAGGAAAAGAAACCAACAGGGAUUGCCUCAGUAACGGCGAGUGAAGCGGCAACAGCUCAAAUUUGAAAUCUGGCUCCUCUCGGGGUCCGAGUUGUAAUUUGUAGAGGAUGCUUCGGGUGCGGCACCGGUCUAAGUCCCUUGGAACAGGGCGUCAUAGAGGGUGAGGAUCCCGUAUGUGACCGGCGACCAAGCCCAUGUGAAGCUCCUUCGACGAGUCGAGUUGUUUGGGAAUGCAGCUCAAAAUGGGUGGUAAAUUUCAUCUAAAGCUAAAUACCGGCCAGAGACCGAUAGCGCACAAGUAGAGUGAUCGAAAGAUGAAAAGCACUUUGGAAAGAGAGUCAAAAAGUACGUGAAAUUGUUGAAAGGGAAGCGCUUGUAACCAGACCUGCCGUCGGGUGCUCCGCGGGCAUUCUUGCCCGUCUACUCACCCGCGAUCAGGCCAGCAUCGGUUUGGGCGGCCGGAUAAAGGCUCGAGGAAUGUAGCUUCACUUCGGGGAAGUGUUAUAGCCUCUUGUGCAAUACGGCCAGCCGGGACCGAGGACCGCGCUUCGGCUAGGAUGCUGGCGUAAUGGUUGCAAGCGACCCGUCUUGAAACACGGACCAAGGAGUCUAACAUCUAUGCGAGUGUUUGGGUGUCAAACCCAUGCGCGGAAUGAAAGUGAACGGAGGUGGGAACCCUCAAGGGCGCACCAUCGACCGAUCCGGAAGUUUACGGAUGGAUUUGAGUAUGAGCAUAGCUGUUGGGACCCGAAAGGUACGGACUAUCCCUGGGUAUGUGCUUGAUAGACCUCCGCUAACGUGCGCAACAGAUGGUGAACUAUGCCUGAAUAGGGUGAAGCCAGAGGAAACUCUGGUGGAGGCUCGCAGCGGUUCUGACGUGCAAAUCGAUCGUCAAAUUUGGGUAUAGGGGCGAAAGACUAAUCGAACCAUCUAGUAGCUGGUUCCUGCCGAAGUUUCGUAAGUUUCUCCCCGGAGAUCUUCCCCAAGAACCCGUACUAACUGUUUCAAUAGCCUCAGGAUAGCAGUAACGUUUUCAGUUUUAUGAGGUAGAGCGAAUGAUUAGAGGUCUGGGGGAUGAAACAUCCUUCACCUAUUCUCAAACUUCCAAUAUGUAAGAAGUCCUUGUUACUUAGUUGAACGUGGACAUUUGAAUGUACCGUUACUAGUGGGCCAUUUUUGGUAAGCAGAACUGGCGAUGCGGGAUGAACCGAACGUGGGGUUAAGGUGCCGGAAUGUACGCUCAUCAGACACCAAGGGGAAGACUUGUGGUGUCUGGCCGGGGGGUUCUUCCCCCCUGGCGUCAGUCUGCGAAAGGCGAGGUCUUUGACCUGUAGGGGUCGGCGGUCGCUCCGGCGAUGGGCCUACCCUCUGCUGUCCCGUCAUCGGGGCAGCUCACAGAUCAAGCAAAGGCCGGCGGUGGUCUGCCGUUGGAGAUAUGAUCGGCCCCUGGAGGCAUACCCCGGGGAGCAAGUGCAAAAGGUGUUGAUUCAUCUAGACAGCCGGACGGUGGCCAUGGAAGUCGGAAUCCGCUAAGGAGUGUGUAACAACUCACCGGCCGAAUGAAUCAG
rnacentral:rRNA from 1 species